CGCGCAGGUGGUUAAUUAAGUCUGAUGUGAAAGCCCACGGCUCAACCGUGGAGGGUCAUUGGAAACUGGUUAACUUGAGUGCAGAAGAGGGUAGUGGAAUUCCAUGUGUAGCGGUGAAAUGCGUAGAGAUAUGGAGGAACACCAGUGGCGAAGGCGGCUACCUGGUCUGUAACUGACACUGAGGCGCGAGAGCGUGGGGAGCAAACA
rnacentral:rRNA from 1 species